CCUGGUGGCUCAGAUGGUAAAGCAUCUGCCUGCAAUGCAGGAGACCCGGGUUCGAUUCCUGGGUCAGGA
rnacentral:tRNA from 1 species